AUUGAACGCUGGCGGCAGGCCUAACACAUGCAAGUCGGGCGGAGUGGCGGACGGGUGAGUAAUGUAUGGGGAUCUGCCUGAUGGCGGGGGAUAACUACUGGAAAGAGUGGCUAAUACCGCAUACUAUUGGAUCGGCCCAUAUCGGAUUAGCUAGUGGGGGGGGUAACGGCUCACCAGGGCAACGAUCCGUAGCUGGUUUGAGAGGACGACCAGCCAAACUGGGACUGAGACACGGCCCAGACUCGUACGUGAGGCAGCAGUGGGGAAUAUUGGACAAUGGGCGAAAGCAUGAGCCAGCCAUCCCGCGUGUAUGAGGAAGGCCUUAGGGUUGUAAAGUACUUUCGGCAGAGCUGCGGUAUCUGCAGAAGAAGCACUGGCUAACUACGUGCCAGCAGCCGCGGUAAUUC
rnacentral:rRNA from 1 species